AAAGAUUUCUUCGGAAUGAAUUUGAUUAAGUUUAGUGGCGGACGGGUGAGUAACGCGUGAGUAACCUGCCUCUAAGAGGGGAAUAACAUUCUGAAAAGAAUGCUAAUACCGCAUAACAUAUAUUUAUCGCAUGGUAGAUAUAUCAAAGAUUUAUCGCUUAGAGAUGGACUCGCGUCCGAUUAGUUAGUCGGUGAGGUAACGGCUCACCAAGACUGCGAUCGGUAGCCGGACUGAGAGGUUGAACGGCCGCAUUGGGACUGAGACACGGCCCAGACUCCUACGGGAGGCAGCAGUGGGGGAUAUUGCGCAAUGGGGGAAGCCCUGACGCAGCAACGCCGCGUGAAGGAUGAAGGUCUUCGGAUUGUAAACUUCUUUUAUUAAGGACGAAGAAAGUGACGGUACUUAAUGAAUAAGCUCCGGCUAACUACGUGCCAGCAGCCGCGGUAAUACGUAGGGAGCAAGCGUUGUCCGGAUUUACUGGGUGUAAAGGGUGCGUAGGCGGCUUUGCAAGUCAGAUGUGAAAUCUAUGGGCUCAACCCAUAGCCUGCAUUUGAAACUGCAGAGCUUGAGUGAAGUAGAGGCAG
rnacentral:rRNA from 1 species